CCUAGCCAUUUAAUGGCUGGGCCACAUGUCAGUUUAUUAAGACAUUAUUAAAAUUAAUUUUAAGUCAUAAAAUUCAAAAGCAAUAUUUAGUACUUAAGGAAAUCUAAAGCUUUGGUGUGCAAAUUAAUUUUUGCUUUGUACAAGCAAGA
rnacentral:sRNA from 12 species